GGAAGGAAAAUCCAUACCAUAGGGACGAUAGUUACUUUUUAUCUUUGACUUUAAAUUAUUGUUAUUCCCUGUGUCAAAUAUCGAAUCCCCGAAGAAAAACACGGCCGGUAUAGUUUUGUUUUCUGGCUUAGGUGGUAAUGGGGCAGGUGGGCUAGGUUUUGGUUUUGGCGAUGGAGCAGGUGGGCUAGGUUUUGGCGACGGGGCAGGUGGUGGUACAGGUUUCGGAGCUGGACUAGGUGGUGGCGGUGGUGGCGGUGAUGGGCCUGGCUUUGGUGAUGGAGCAGGUGUUGGUGGUGGCUUUGGUUGCGGCUUUGGUGGUUGAGGUGGGCAUGGAGUUGGGGCAGGUGCUGGUGGUGGCUUUGGCUGAGGCUUAGGUGGUAUUGGUGGACAUGCCGAUGGACCAGGCGGUGGUGGUGGCUUUGGUUGAGGCUUAGGUGGACAUGCCGAUGGACCAGGCGGUGGUGGUGGCUUUGGUUGCGGCUUAGGUGGUGGGCAUUGAGAUGGACCAGGGGCUGGUGGUGGUUUUGGUUGAGGCUUAGGUGGUAUUGGUGGACAUGCCGAUGGACCAGGCGCUGGUGAUGGCUUUGGUUGCGGCUUAGGUGGUAAUGGUGGGCGUGGAGAUGGGCCAGAUGGUGGACCAGGAUUUGGUGAUGGGCCUGGUGGUGGGCCAGAUUCUGGUGGUUCCAUUGGCCAUGGAUACGGCCAAGGCAUUGAUGGCCAAGGUAUUGAUGGCCACGGCCAGAGCCGUCGGUGGACUACUUGGGCAUGGGACGUUGUCGCAAAGAAGAUACAAAAGGAUAUGAGAAAGACAACAAAACGAAAUAGCAUCGAACAAGAAUGGACCAUAGAAGAUUGCUUCAUGCUUUUACUACGAGUAGUAGUAAGACAACUUCCACUCAAGCGAUUUCAACCGUCAUGUCAAUAUGAAUAUCAAUCUGCGUGUGCCUAUGUAUAUAUAUGCAUUACGUAAACUAGGGCAUGCAAUUUAUGUGGCCGUGUUGAAGAUGCUUGUGUGACACGGCUUCUCAUCACACAUUUUGAGACCUUCAUUAUAUUCCAUUUCUAGUCGGAACUUAACUUCUCUCAAGUAUCUUUCGUGACUUCUCGGAACCUAACUCUCGCUUAAGUAUCUUCAGUAUCUAGAGAUUAAACCCAAAAGAUAUCAUCAGUUAAUUUGAUUUUUGGAGUUAGGGUUAUGGCUAUGUAAUAUACUAGUCAGUUUCCCACACAAGACACAACUUAGAAUCAAUAAUGUAUAUGAUUGGGUUGGCCAUUUUAAAGAUUGUUGGCCUUUUAAUAUGAUUUUAACCUUUAGUUAUAAUUCUAUUUCAGCCGAUCCAUCUUAUCUCUUUGUAAUUCGAUUAAGUGAAACAAGAAGGAUAAUGGAUUAUGUUUAUUGAAUUGAAUCAUCACAUAAACAAAAAGCGUAGGUCGUUAGAAGAAAUUCAACAUCAUUUUUACAUUUGAUUAUUUAAUUAGCGCAGCUUCUAUAUUUUCAAAGAGGAAAAAGUUUCAAUGAUAUUUUUCCCAUCAUCCCAUAAUAAAAGUUGCCCUAUAAAUUAAGCACUCAUCUUUUUUUAAUUCCUUGUUCCAUGUUAAUAUUAUACGUAUCAUACCAUAGUCAGGAACUAAAACAUUAUACCAACUAAUGUUCCAAAAAAUACAUUAAACCAAAUGAGUUACAGCUUUUAUUUAGCCAAAUUAUAUCAUCAACGGACACAUCUUAAAUCUACAUUUAUUUGUCAUAAAAAGGGCUCAUGUCAGUCUCUACAAACUUUUUGGUUAAAAUUCUAUAAGCUCUUUCCGUUGGAUGGUAACUGUCCCAAAACAUAUAAGAAGAUACAUUGCUGCAAAGAAGUGAUGUAAAUUGGUUGCAAAGCGGGCCUAAUUCGACCAUCCCUGUCCCGCAACAUCCUCUAUCAAUCUCAUCAAAUCCUGCAAAAUUCCCCCCAAAAAUGAAAAAAAAAUAAUAGUCUUAAGCUCAUUCACACACAACAGUAGUUACCACCUUUUUCAUUCUUUCAUUCAAAAAAAAAAACAGUAGUUACCAUAUUCUUUGGGGUUUUGGAUCAUAUGAGCGAAGAGAGAGUAGAUAUCAAUAUACACCAAAGUGGCGUUUUUCAAGGUCUCGGCCACUGAAUGCAAACUUCUUGAGAGUUUGGUAUUGAAAAGCUGAGCUGCAACGUUUAUUUCAUCAAAACACUUUCUCUUAAGUCCCCCUCUUGCGGUUCUUUGUAUCGGUAUACACCCGAUUGGCGAAACACCAAUGAAUCCUAUCUUUCUUGCUCCAGAUUCAUAUAGUUGCUGCCAAAUUUUGAUCACUCUAUGUUCAUCAGGUUUUACUUUAUCUGGCUCAUAUAAUUUUCAAAUUUCAACAUACCAUAGCGAAACUUGAAGCAGAGCUAGCCAUAUAAGAGGUAUAUGCAUCGAUGUCAUAUAAUAAUUCUUCUGCAUGUGUACCAUAGUAUGUGUUAGCUAGAUCAUCGCUACCCGCAAUCACAAUGGCUAGACUUUUGGAUAUUAUGUGCUCAGCUUUCUCUUUUCCCACAAAGCCUUUUACUUUCUCUAUAUAUUCUUGAAAAUAUGUCAACUGGUUUGACAUCGGUAUUGCGCUCUUAGGUAUAACAUUGGUAACACAUGAAAACAAAAAUGUUAUCAAAUGAAAUUAGGUUUUAAAAUUAAUUAAUUAAGGAAAGGUAAUUCGAACGGCGAAGGAUAGUCCGAUGUUAUUACUACAACGAUAGGUGUCAAAGGAUCGAAGCCAGAACCACCCGAAGCAAAUGAUACACCAGUAAUGAGAUCUUCUUGGGUUAGCCCUGGCUUCAAGUAUGGCGGUAAAGUUGGUUUUACUCCUAAAAAUUCCGCUGCGAAAGUAAAGACCAAAAAAGAUCAAUUUUAGUAAGAAUGUUUCCACUGAAAAUACAAAAAAAAAAUAUUCAUUCUUAAGCUGACGCGAUGCCAUCUUAUGUAGUUUUUUUUUUUUGAGAAUGAUCUUACGUAGUUAUGAUGAUAAUAUUUUACGUAUAAGUUUAUGUAUUAAUAAUUUCUAUUUUUAGACCAAUUAAACCAAUCCAAAAAUUUAAGAUAUGAAAUGGAACAAAGUUAAUGUAAUAGGCAAAUAGGGUCGUCGUUACUGUGCGAGUGGCAAUCAUUAGUUAUGAUUUUCUUUGUUUACUAAGCGUCUUUGUUAAAUAUUUUUCUAUGGAUUUUUUUCAACUUUUAUUUUGUUGCAUCUUUUUCAAACUUAAGGGUGAAAAUUCAUAUAUUGUAAAAAAAAAAAUGUUAAUUAUGAUUAAUUUGAAAAAAAAACUUAAUGCAAAAAUGUACUAAAAGUAAAGGCAAAGUCACCUAUAAAAUCAGCAGGGAUCUUGCCAUUGCAAAAUCUACCGGUGGGAAGUCCGUGUGGAAAAUUCAUGCCAUAGGGGGGAAAAUUAGCUUUGACUAAUGUUGAAAUGUAAUCGUUAUUUCCUGUGUCUACAAUUGAAUCCCCAAAUGCAAAGAUCGCAGGAAACGUCGUGUUGCGUGGCCUAGGGAGCGAGGGUGUCGGAGCUGGCCCUGGACUUGGACAUGGACAUGGCUUUGGCUCUGGAGCCGGGGUUGGCCCUGGACUUGGAGAUGGCUUCGGCUUUGGACUCGGUUGUGG
rnacentral:lncRNA from 1 species